GUCCUCUGCAGGGGACAGAGAAAAAGCCAUGAACAAUGACGAUGACUGGAACCAUAUUGUCUUAUUUGUAGCCAGCUAAGCCAACAGAUUGUUAAUUUCAGUGCGCUCACCAAGUUUAAUUGUUUUACGGAUUUUUUUUGACUUUGCGGCCGGAGCCUUGGCCUUGCAGACUUUGCUGAGAGCGCGGGUGAAAUGAGCGUCCACCAUACUGUUGAUGUCGCCCUGGAAACAAAACAUUUCGCUCACACAUCCAAAUGUACUUGAUGUGUUCGACUGGCAGGGUGUGUGAUGCUUCAUGGACGCAGAAAGCUAUGGGCAGAAUGUCGUCGGGCAAGUUCCUCCAGAAACUGCUGUUGAAGAUGGUGAACAGGUACAUCAGGACCACUCUGCCUGGCCCGAAGGAAAAGAAGCCCAAUGACCACGUCAGACCUAAGAGGACGGUGAGACUGGCCACCGUCCUCAAAUCAUACAGAGAGCUGCCGCUGUUUGCC